AUAUAACAAUCAAUCAAUAAACAAAAACCUAUCCCCCCCCCCAAAAAAAAAGACACUUUCUAAAAAAUAAACUUUCUAUACGAACUUUUUUUUCUUCAAAAACUUCUCUGCCUCCAAAACCUCCUCUGCCUCCAUUCCAACAACCCGCUGCAAGGAGAAGCGCCACCGAGGCACAGUUUCAUGCCUCAGCCGAGAGGUGCUCCAACCCUUUGAUCAUCCUCACAGCCUUCCUCUGGACUCACUCCAACAUGUCCAUGUCCUACUUGUGCUGGGGGUCCCAGAGCUGGACGCAGUACUCCAGAUGGCUUUCAGUGAUAUAUACCAGCUGCAAACAGGGAGCAGAGCCAGCCCAUGUGGCUGUCCCACGGAACAGAAAACAUCCAGUGCUCCUGCAACAGCGCUCCAGGCCAAUUUGCACCAACCCCGAAGUGUGAAAGUUCAGGGCACGCUUCCGCGCCUUCUGGGUGAUGAGGACGUUCAGGCGAGCUGUCAGGUCUAGGUUUAAUGUGUCUGCUACCAAGAACUACUAUUCCCCACUCAGCUCUGAACAGUCAGAAGCCACAGAGUGCACCUGAAGCCCCUGCUGAACAGCGCCCUGAUGUUCUCCCCUGCACGUGUCUGUAAUAAGAUACCCACAAUUUUCCCUGUUUUCCCAUGGUUUUAGUGUAAAAAUAUUGUGGUACCUGUGCCCCUGCAACAACACACAGCUGAAAUGCGAACCACCUUUGGGAAUCCUUUUAAAUAUAUAACAUGACAUUAAGAAAAAUGGAAGUUUGUUUGUUUGUUGUUGUUGUUUUAAAUAUUUCAAGGAGGUACAAAGUGUGGUGUGGCCAACUUUCUCAGAAGAUCUAAAGGGAUCCCCAGUCUUUUUAAAAUAAACUUUCCCUUAAUUGGGAGAAAUGAUUCAGUGUGCUGUGGGGGGCAAAGAACUAGAGCAUAGCCUCUUUCUCUUAGUGCCAGCUGGCUGGCUGUAAUUUGCAAAGCAGUGCAGAGAAUGCUCUAAUAUAAUUUCUCUAAAAACUGAAUGCAACUGCUUUAUGUUUAUGGCUGCAAGUAAUUGUAGACUGUUGCAAACCUGUAUCAGCAAUAGUCACCUGCAUGAGCAGGGCCAUACUCUUGCCUGGCCUGUUUCUUCCCUGUGAAACAUAAGAUUAAAAUACACUUUUUCUAUCUUGUUAUCUA
rnacentral:lncRNA from 1 species